UACGUAGGGUGCAAGCGUUAAUCGGAAUUACUGGGCGUAAAGCGUGCGCAGGCGGUUGGGCAAGACCGAUGUGAAAUCCCCGGGCUUAACCUGGGAAUGGCAUUGGUGACUGCACGGCUAGAGUGUGUCAGAGGGGUGUAGAAUUCCACGUGUAGCAGUGAAAUGCGUAGAGAUGUGGAGGAAUACCGAUGGCGAAGGCAGCCCCCUGGGAUAACACUGACGCUCAUGCACGAAAGCGUGGGGAGCAAACAGG
rnacentral:rRNA from 1 species